UGAAGACGCGGAUCCUCUGUUCCAUUUGAGUAGCGUGGCGACGGACGUUUGGGUGGACGGCAGCUUGCUCCUCUGAUUGUUUUGCUUCUGAUGUAAAAAAUGUUCUCUCUGGUCUGCUGCCGCGACAUCAAGGGGACCUGCUUAAUUUGUUGUGGUGUUGCCUACCUGGUGCCUGAGUUUGACUUAUUUUUAUAGGGUUUUGCGACGGUCGUGCCGCCUUUGGCUUGUGUCUUGUAUAGCUGAAGUUUGUUCCCCAGUUUGUUUUGGUUCGCCUUUGAGAUACCGUGCGUUGUUAAGUGAGAUCGAGAGACAGACAGAGAUGCUGAUGUUAGUGAGUACCGGUCGUGCUGCCUUUGGCUGUUUGGUUGGUUGGUUGGUUUAUCCCUGAUGCGUUUUCUUAGCUGACAGUGAGUGUGAUCCAUGACAUAAUUUGGUUAUCCAUCCCCUUGUUUUCCCAGCUGCAUUUCUUUUGUCAGUGAUGAUUUCCUUGUCAUAGUAAUAUUUCCUUGUGACCGUCAUUAGCUGUGAAAUCAUCUGUU
rnacentral:lncRNA from 1 species